GCCGUUGGCCGGGCUGCGCGUUCCCGCGCCUGCCGAGGGGAGGGUGGCGCGCGCUGCCCCUCAGCGGCCAUCAGGCGCUUUAAUCUCAGGUUAGUCUGGUGCCCGUGGAACGGGCCAGCCCCGGCAGGAUCACCCCACGGAUGGGCCUCAGGCAGCCCCGCUUCGAGGCGGGCCAGAAGCUUAUAUGGAUAAAACUGUGCCUACUAAACAAUGGCAUCUUAUAGUAAAAAAUCCAUGGCAAAUGUGCAGCUGCUUAAUGACAGUGACCACUAAUAAGAGCAGUCUUCUCAACGAAAAUAUACGCUGGCUGCUUCUAGCAAGAUCUGCACAUUCUGCAGGAAAGUGUUGAUCUUUUCCAUGGAGUCCCCACUACUGCUGAAAAUGUCACUGAAUGGGCACCUGGACAUAUCUGCUGCUGGCAUUUCUUGCUGCUGACCUAAAGAAGGAUCCAAAACAUCACCCUCGCAUUUCAGUUCUUUCCUCGGCCGGCCACGUUUCCCCAUUGCUUUUGGAAAUUCAAACUUUAAAAUUUAAAGCUCUUUCCUCGACUUCUCUUGUUCCUCUGCCCUUGUUGCAGUUUGUGUGUGUCUGUGCGUGCGAGAGAGAGAGAUUGAAUGAAUCAAGGGACCUCCUGACUUUGAGACUCCGCUGUGGUCCUAGUGCUAGUUGAGUUCUAAACAAUAAAGGGGAAUGGAAAGGG